GCUGUUUUCUGCCCUACUCGUGUUUUCUUCUUCCUCGUCAGUGUCUCUACCUACAGAGACCACCUUCUUCAUUUUUGCUUAAGCCUUAAACCAAAGAUUCUUGAUUAUAAACUUUAACCCAAUAUUAUGAUCAAUACACACAAGUUCCUUUUUUUUCACUCUUCUUCAUGAGAAUCUGAGUUGAUAAAAGGCAUGCUCUUUUACAGCUUCACUACCAAACACUUCACUUCAAAGCUAAUAAUCCCAUGUAGUAAGUCUUUCUCUAACUUCACCAUUAUUAACCGUUUCUUCUCAGCUCUUUCUAACCCUUCUUCUGAUACUGAACAUGAACCUCAAACAAAUGAUGCAAUUCCCAACUUGGUUUCUUUAAAAACUGAAAUGGAACUACCCAUUCCUGAUAAUUUUGCACCAAAACCCAAAUUGGAUUCUUGUAGAACUGAAAUGGAACUACCCAAAGUUGCCCCAAUACCCAAGUUUGAUACUUGUGGAACUAAAGUAGAAGAACCCCUUUUUGAUAAUUCAUUUAAAGUUGCCCCAAAACCCAAGUUGGGUUCUUGUGAAACUGAAAUGGAAGUACCAAUUUCAGAUAAGUUAUUUAAAGAGGCUCCAAAGUUGGGUUCUUUUAAAUUGGGUGAUUCUACAUUUUAUUCUCUUAUUGAGAAAUAUGCCAGUUCUGGGGACUUUAGGUCUUUAGAGAUGGUUUUUGAUAGAAUGAAGUGUGAACAAAGAGUCUUUAUUGAGAAGAGUUUUAUCUUAGUAUUUAGAGCUUAUGGAAAAGCCUGUUUGCCUGAAAAAGCUGUUGAAUUGUUUGAAAGAAUGGUGGAUGAGUUUCAAUGUAAACGGACUGUGAAGUCGUUUAAUUCUGUUCUUAAUGUGAUAGUUCAGACAGGGUUAUAUCGUCGUGCAUUGGAUUUUUAUGCUGAUGUUGUAAAUAAUAGGAAUAUUAAGCCGAAUGUGCUUUCUUUUAAUUUAGUUAUUAAGACCUUUUGUAAGCUUCGGAUGGUCGAUAGAGCUAUCGAGCUGUUUAGAGAAAUGCCUACCUGGAAAUGUGAACCGGAUGUUUAUACGUAUUGUACUUUGAUGGAUGGGUUGUGCAAAGAUGACCGGAUUGAUGAGGCAGUUAUUCUUUUUGAUGAAAUGCAGAUAGAGGGAUGUUUUCCUAUUCCGUUAACAUUUAAUGUGUUGAUUCAUGGACUUUGUCGGAAAGGUGACUUGGCUCGAGCUGCAAAGCUUGUGGAUAACAUGUUUCUUAAAGGUUGUGUUCCGAAUGAAGUGACUUAUAACACACUUAUACAUGGUUUGUGUCUGAAAGGUAAGUUGGAGAAAGCUGUUAGUUUAUUGGAUAGAAUGGUGUCGAAUAAGUAUGUGCCAACUGAUGUAACAUAUGGAACGAUUAUCAACGGGUUCGUUAAGCAAGGAAGAGCAACUGAUGGUGUGCAGAUUUUGUUGGCAAUGCAGGAGAAAGGGCGAAUUGCAAAUGAAUAUGUCUACUCAGCACUACUAAGUGGGUUGUUCAAGGAGGGAAAACCUGAAGAGGCAUUAAAAAUAUGGAGGGAAAUGAUUGAAAAGGGAGUGAAACCAAAUACAGUUGCUUAUUCUGCUUUAAUAGAUGGCUUGUGUCGAGAAGGCAGACCUGACGAAGCUAAGGAGAUCCUUUCUGAGAUGAUUAAAAUGGGUUGCAAUCCCAAUGCUUACACUUACUGCUCUAUGAUGAAAGGUUAUUUUAAAGCCGGCGAUAGCAACAAGGCUGUAUUUUUAUGGAAAGAAAUGGCAACUAGUGGUAUCACAUGCAAUGAAAUCUGCUACAGUGUACUCAUCCAUGGACUGUGUCAAGAUGGGAAGCUCAAAGAGGCUAUGAUGGGGUGGAAGCACAUGUUAGGCAAAGGGUUCGUCCCUGAUGCCGUGGCUUAUAGUUCAGUGAUUCACGGCCUUUGUAAUGCUGGUUCUGUAGACCAGGGAUUGAAACUCUUCAAUGAGAUGCUAUAUAGAGGAUCUGGUUCUCAGCCUGACGUAAUAGCAUUUAACAUAGUUCUUAGUGCUUUAUGCAAGGUGGACAGAGUUUCUCUAGCAAUUGAUCUUUUGAAUACCAUGUUGGAUCGAGGUUGUGAUCCUGACUCUAUUACAUGUAAUAUUUUCUUGAAAACUUUAAAUGAAAAAGCAAAUCCAUCCCAAGAUGCGGAAGACUUUCUGGAUAAGUUGGUGUGGCAACUGUACAGGCGGCAGAGAAUUUUAGGAGCUUCAAGAAUUAUAGAAGUGAUGCUUCAAAAAUUUCUUUAUCCCAAGUCCUCUACUUGGGAAAUGAUUAUUCGAGAACUCUGCAAACCGAAGAAGGUUCAAGGAGCUAUUAACAAGUGUUGGAGUGACCUUUUCAUCUGAUAUUAGAGGUUAGUUUUUAUUUUGGUUGCAAAAAUGCAAUAUCCUGAAACAUUGUUUCCGAUGGGCACAUUGCUCGUUGGAGACAAAAGAGGACAGUGAGAUUCUUUCUGAGGAUUCAUUCUGUACAUCUCAGAAUAUGGGUCAUUCUGCUUGAGAUGUGCAUCAAGCAAUUACACAAUGAUUGGACGACUGUUUAUUUCCAAACAGACACUUGCUUCCAUAGUUUAAACAUUACGUUUUUCUGUUAGUUUGUGUGUGUAUCUGUUGCACAUGUAUGUAACAGAAAAUGACAUUUUAUCAAUUAUUUCUAAAAAGCUCUUAAAUGGAUACAGAAACCUUUCAAUUAGGAUAAUCUAGCGUUGUUCAGUCAUUAGGAUUAGGAUAAUAAAAAGCAAGCCAUAUCACUUGUAGAUUCCCCUUACAAGUUUUGAAUUUUGUCAGUUCGCUGGACUUAGCAUAGCCUAUUAUCUAAUUUAGCUAAACACCUAUAUUUUGUAAUCUUACAUUUUGUACGGUUCUUGUUGCCAUCAGUGAAACUUUUUACUUCAUCAGAAGGAUAUUAAAAAGAAAGCGUCCACGUCAUUGAAUAUGUUUUUCUUCACUUUCUUACCAUAUGUUAGGUUUGAAAUCUAAAAGUUCUAACAAGUUUGUUACAUAUCAGGUUUGAAUAUUGAUGAUACUGCAAUACCCUAGUCAUGCAAGAUCAUUUAGAAAUGGUUUUGGGCUGCUAGAAUUAUUAUUUUUCGCUAAACUAACUUGGGAUCACAAUGGUGGGUGAAAGAAAUAUUGUGAGCGUGGUGGUUGCUAUGGGAAGCUUGCAAAUAAGUAGAAAAUGGCAGUGAGAACUCCACAGGGGUCCAUCACGUGAUGCAUUCAUGACGUGCAAAAGCAGUAGAAGAUGACAACGAGAAUACUGUUUAAUCUGAAGUUGUAACUUUUGGGGGGGCAUAUAUUGUCAGAUAUGUUCGCUGGAGUGGUAUCGAUGUUUUCUAAGAAACAUUGCUCGGCUUUUAGAAAAGUUCAAGAAAUUAUGAAAACGAUACAAACAACUAUGGUUCGUUUAAGAAUAAGUGCGAUGGAACUCAAGUCCCAGAUUUAAUCAUAGGUGUAAAAAAACUUAUGCCCUAGCUUUUUCCAUGUCUUCUUCUGAGAUCUUUGAAGACAUUGGCAUCUUUGAUUGAUGAGCCAUGUCAUAAGUUGCAUG